GAGUUGUCUUGUUCUUCCUCUCCCACUAGGCUGUAAACCCCAAAGAGCACUGACUUCAUCUUAAAUUUGUAUUCUCCUCAGAAACCGGCCAGUAUGAAGCAUUCUCUACACAAUAUACUACUAAAUUAAGUGAAUACUCUCAUCAGUGGAAAGAUGGAAAGGAAGAGAGGAUUCAUGAUGUAGUUUUCUUGUCCUAAAUUCUUUGCUAUCAAAGUUAAAUCUAAAAUAAACUAAAAUAUG
rnacentral:lncRNA from 1 species